UACGGAGGGGGCAAGCGUUGUUCGGAAUUAUUGGGCGUAAAGGGCAUGUAGGCGGUUUAAUAAGUUAAAAGUGAAAUACCAGGGCUUAACCUUGGAGCUGCUUUUAAUACUAUUUAAACUAGAGAUCGAGAGAGGAUAGUGGAAUUCCUAGUGUAGAGGUGAAAUUCGUAGAUAUUAGGAGGAACACCAGUGGCGAAGGCGACUAUCUGGCUCAGUUCUGACGCUGAGGUGCGAAAGCGUGGGGAGCAAACA
rnacentral:rRNA from 1 species